UACGUAGGGGGCAAGCGUUGUCCGGAUUUAUUGGGCGUAAAGAGCUCGUAGGCGGUUUGGUAAGUCUGGUGUGAAAUCUCCACGCUCAACGUGGAGGGGCCACCCGAUACUGCCAUGACUGGAGUCCGGUAGAGGAGUGUGGAAUUCCCGGUGUAGCGGUGAAAUGCGCAGAUAUCAGGAGGAACACCGGUGGUGUAGACGGCUCACUGGACCGUAACUGACGCUGAAACACGAAAGCGUGGGUAGCAAACAGG
rnacentral:rRNA from 1 species